UGCAAACUUGCAAAAAAUCAAAGAAAUUGAAGAAGUGGUUGGCGAGUGGCGAGUGGCGAGCUAGAGAGGAGAAGAAAAUAGAAGAAUCGAAGAGAUGUGAUCACUGGCCAGAGAUGAUAACUCAUGUUUGACUCUGAGGGGGUGAGAAAAAGGUGAGAAGAAAGAAGAAAGAAGAGAGGCAAGAUUGCAAGAACAAAGAAGAAAACUAAGAAGGAUAGAAGAAUAAUGAAGAAACAGAAGCAGGGAGGAAGAAGGGUAUACUCGUCUUGCCAUGCCAAGUAAACUUUUGUUUCCAGCAGUCCCGGAAAAUAAAAUACCAGGGUCUACCACAGAAUUUGUUUUCCACAAAAAUGAGGAAUUGAACUUCCAAUGGAGAUUAAGUUCCAAUCAACCAAACAUGGGAAAAGAGUAAUUUCUUUGAUGUGGAGGAACCCACUUCCCUUGGAAAAACAGUUCCUGUGCCAACCAAACAUACCCUUAUUAUCAUUCCUAAUUUUUAAUGAUAGUUAUAAUUAUUAUUGAAA